UACGUAGGGUGCAAGCGUUGUCCGGAAUUAUUGGGCGUAAAGAGCUCGUAGGCGGUUUGUUGCGUCGGCUGUGAAAUCCCGAGGCUCAACCUCGGGUCUGCAGUCGAUACGAGCAAACUAGAGUGUUGCAGGGGAGACUGGAAUUCCUGGUGUAGCGGUGAAAUGCGCAGAUAUCAGGAAGAACACCCGUGGCUAAGGCGGCUCUCUAGUACGGUACU
rnacentral:rRNA from 1 species